UACGUAGGGGGGCUAGCGUUGUCCGGAAUCAUUGGGCGUAAAGAGCGUGUAGGCGGCCCGGUAAGUCCGCUGUGAAAGUCGGGGGCUCAACCCUCGAAUGCCGGUGGAUACUGUCGGGCUAGAGUGCGGAAGAGGCGAGUGGAAUUCCUGGUGUAGCGGUGAAAUGCGCAGAUAUCAGGAGGAACACCGGUGGCGAAGGCGGGUCUCUGGGCCGAUACUGACGCUGAGGAGCGAAAGCGUGGGGAGCGAACAGG
rnacentral:rRNA from 1 species